rnacentral:rRNA from 1 species
AUGCAAGUCGAACGGUAACAUUUCUAGCUUGCUAGAAGAUGACGAGUGGCGGACGGGUGAGUAAUGCUUGGGAACUUGCCUUUGCGAGGGGGAUAACAGUUGGAAACGACUGCUAAUACCGCAUAAUGUCUUCGGACCAAACGGGGCUUCGGCUCCGGCGCAAAGAGAGGCCCAAGUGAGAUUAGCUAGUUGGUAAGGUAACGGCUUACCAAGGCGACGAUCUCUAGCUGUUCUGAGAGGAAGAUCAGCCACACUGGGACUGAGACACGGCCCAGACUCCUACGGGAGGCAGCAGUGGGGAAUAUUGCACAAUGGGGGAAACCCUGAUGCAGCCAUGCUGCGUGUGUGAAGAAGGCCUUCGGGUUGUAAAGCACUUUCAGUUGUGAGGAAAAGUUAGUAGUUAAUACCUGCUAGCCGUGACGUUAACAACAGAAGAAGCACCGGCUAACUCCGUGCCAGCAGCCGCGGUAAUACGGAGGGUGCGAGCGUUAAUCGGAAUUACUGGGCGUAAAGCGCACGCAGGCGGUUUGUUAAGCUAUAUGUGAAAGCCCCGGGCU